GCUCCUACUGCAACCGUCUGUGGAGCCGAGGGGCUAGAGAGCAGCUGCGGGUCGCUGGGAGCAGCUCUCGGGGGUGAUCACAAAUGGAUUAAAGCAGAGUUUAGUGGGCAAACAGACGCCAUUUUGACUCCACCGACGCGGGCUGCAGCUUUCUCGCUCGGCACGGUCCACUCACGCGCUGCUGCGGCGACGGGGUUUGCCGUAGAGACGGAACCGGUACUUUCUGCUAAAGAGGCGGACCAGAGGGAAAAGGCUUAACGCUCCGGCCAGAAAAUCGUCUUCAGUCGUCUUGAAACUGCAUGGAGUCUCAUUCUGCAGGUGGAAGGGAAUCUGGAAACGCCUGAUGCUGUACCUCCUAUGAGUUUUUGUUUGAUUACCAUUGCAAACUUUUUCUUUUCUUCUAUUUAUUUAUGUAUUUUUCUUUUCUUUUUCGAGCUACACAACAUGAACUCAGUCCAUUUUUAGUGGUAAACGGGGGAAAUAUGUAAGAGGAAGAAAAAUAAAAAACGCAGACAGAACAGAAUGGACGUGCUUGGUAGCUUCUCGUGUCCGUUGUGAAAAUGGAUGAAGGGGAUCCAGGUCUUUCAUGGGCCCUUCCGCUGCUCUGCCUGCUAUGAAAGGACCGGGAACUCUAAUCAGAAAAAGCAGUUGAGGUACAAAUGAGACAAUAUGUUUAUUUUUAUUAUCAUUAGUUUGCUUAUUUAUUGAAUUGUGUAAAGCUUAGGCUACUUACAUUUACAAACGCGUUGCAUUUUCCAACUUUGACAGUCAACAUCGCACACAUCAGUCUGUAGUUCAUCAUUGACGCAUUGUCCAUCUCGGAUUUGUUGCUCUUUUAUGCAAGUUUUAAAGUUUUAUAGUACAGUUUUCAAAAUAAAAGUUGCUGAUUGCAUUUAACUGCAUUUCUGCUCAAUAUUUUUCCAGCAUUGAGACAGUUAUUGAAAUGCAAACGUAUUAUUAACUGUGUUCCAAUAAAAAAAAGACGGACACUGAAUUAAAGCUCCAAUUCCCUGUUUAUUUAUUUUUAACGAUUUGAUUUGAAUUUAAAAUCAGAUCAAACAGUCCUGCAGAUGAAAGCCUUAAAAAUUACUUUAAAACUGGAAAAGUCUGUCUUAGCUGCAUUCAAAAAGAUGAUGAAGACCAUGUGAACCGUAGCCCACAUAUGUCUAUUUUGCAGGUGGGUUUGGACAUGCGCUUUUUUAUAGUGAGUAAGUAUUGUCAUUAGUCGUCCUGUUUCCUGUAAAGAUUUUGACCAAUGUGGUGCGUUCGGUUAUUAGAAAGUUUACAUGAAAAUUAGUUGUUGCUAAAUUAUGCAUUUGGCUGCACGGUGGCGCAGUGGUUAGCGCUAUUGCCACACAGCAAGAGGCCCCUGGGGCAAGUCCCGUUUGGGGGACCUGAAACAAACAUCAACGGGGGACCUUUCUGUGUGGAGUUUGCAUGUUCUCCCCGUGAAUGCGUGGGUUUUCUCCGGGGACUCUGGCUUCCUCCCACCGUCCAAAAACAAGCUUCAUAGGUUAAUUGGUCACUCUAAAUUGUCUAUAGGUGUGAAUGGGUGUGUGAUAUGUGUGACCCAGCGACAGACUGUCCAGGGUGUCCCCUGCCUUCGCCCAUAAGUGGUCGGGAUGGGUUCCAGUAGCCCCGUGAUCCCGAAAGGGACAAACGGAAGAAAAUGAAUGAAUAAAUUAUGCAUUGAUGUGAAUCUGCCGAUGCAUGGAUUUAAUUGCUCUUAACAAAAUAUUGGGAAAAAAGGGAUUCUCUCAAAGCAUUUUCUAUUUUUUGUCGUUGGUAAAUAUUUGUUCAUGUAGCGUAAAAUAUUUUCUUUAAAUAACUUUUUUAGUCUCGGGUUGAAUGAAAACAAAGCGCAGUUCACCCUGAACUUUAAGGCAAGGUCCUCGUAUGGCCCUCGUCACGCGUAAAUGUCGGGUUUAUGCUUUCUCGGGACUGUUUGUCCUGAUCAGUAUUUGCAGUUCGAGAUAGGGUGGAACGGAAGAAAUAACGACUUUCUAUCUCAGACAUCUGCAGGUGUGAAAGGAUGUGGGACUGUUCUCCGUCCUUUUGCGCAACCCUGGAAGGAGCGCCGGGGCGGUCGUGGCAUCGGGACCUUGCAUCACAGAUGUGUGCCCGUCCUUCGGGUUCUGCUCCACAAUCCAACAUUAUCAAGGAUGUGAGCGGCCACAAAUGGAAG